GAUGAACGCUAGCGGCAGGCCUAAUACAUGCAAGUCGGACGGGAUUCAGGAGCUUGCUUCUGAUGAGAGUGGCGCACGGGUGCGUAACACGUAUGUAACCUACCUUUAUCAGGGGGAUAGCCUCUCGAAAGAGAGAUUAAGCCCGCAUAAAAUCACAGCACAGCAUUGUGUAAUGAUCAAAUAUUUAUAGGAUAAAGAUGAGCAUGCGGAACAUUAGCUAGAUGGCGGGGUAACGGCCCACCAUGGCGACGAUGUUUAGGGGAUCUGAGAGGAUGGCCCCCCACACUGGUACUGAGACACGGACCAGACUCCUACGGGAGGCAGCAGUAAGGAAUAUUGGUCAAUGGGCGGAAGCCUGAACCAGCCAUGCCGCGUGCAGGAAGACGGCCCUACGGGUUGUAAACUGCUUUUAUACGGGAAUAAACCCAGAUACGUGUAUCUGGCUGAAUGUACUGUAAGAAUAAGGAUCGGCUAACUCCGUG
rnacentral:rRNA from 1 species